GAUGAACGCUGGCGGCGUGCCUAAUACAUGCAAGUCGAGCGAACAGACGAGGAGCUUGCUCCUCUGACGUUAGCGGCGGACGGGUGAGUAACACGUGGAUAACCUACCUAUAAGACUGGGAUAACUUCGGGAAACCGGAGCUAAUACCGGAUAAUAUAUUGAACCGCAUGGUUCAAUAGUGAAAGACGGUUUUGCUGUCACUUAUAGAUGGAUCCGCGCCGCAUUAGCUAGUUGGUAAGGUAACGGCUUACCAAGGCAACGAUGCGUAGCCGACCGGAGAGGGUGGUCGGCCACACUGGAGCUGAGACGCGGUCCAGACUCCUACGGGAGGCACCAGUAGGGAAUCUUCCGCAAUGGGCGAAAGCCUGACGGAGCAACGCCGCGUGAGUGAUGAAGGUCUUCGGAUCGUAAAACUCUGUUAUUAGGGAAGAACAAAUGUGUAAGUAACUAUGCACGUCUUGACGGUACCUAAUCAGAAAGCCACGGCUAACUACGUG
rnacentral:rRNA from 1 species